UUAAAGGUAGAGGCUAUUAAUUCGAUUAAAAUAGUGGGAGAAAACUUUUGACUAAAGUCCAAGUCUUUAGGAUUAAAUAAAUCAUAUACUGAUUAGUUGGGUUUUUCCUUUAUUUUUCAGAUAUGGCUAACUCAUUGUCCCUCCGAACACUAUUAGACAAUGAUAAGCUUAAUGGACCUAACUUCGAUAGCUGGUAUCGAAAGAUGAA
rnacentral:lncRNA from 1 species